CGUGGAACGCACAAGAGCGCCCUCUUGGUAGAACUACAAGAUGUACCUGCAUUACCUGCAUGGCGCGGAUUUCCGCCUUGGGCGCGUGGAGCGGCCACCUCCCUACGAGGCUCUGUGGACACACUGCUCCAAGCUUCUCUGCUCUGCGCCGAAGCAUCACAUUCACGCGGUCUGCUAUGACAGAUGAACGCCUGCCGGGCAUCCUGCUGAUGAGCGCAUACACAGAGCGAUGGGCACUGACGGGGAUGAAACCGUGUUCACCAGGACAAAUCGCCGCAACGUGUUUAAGAGGCAAAACUGACACAGAGCUGCAUUAUUGCUGUCUCUGUGCCUCAGGAAAUCAGUAGCGUCGGGGCCAGCGCAGAAGUCAAGAUGCAUACUGGAAUGCCGCCGCUUCUUGUUUAAAAAAGAAAUGUGCCUCUAGAACGCCCACUGGGACGCGAAUAAAGUUAUUAUUCUUAUCGUU